rnacentral:rRNA from 1 species
GUGGGGAAUAUUGCACAAUGGGGGAAACCCUGAUGCAGCAACGCCGCGUGAGUGAUGAAGGUCUUCGGAUUGUAAAACUCUGUCUUUGGGGACGAUAAUGACGGUACCCAAGGAGGAAGCCACGGCUAACUACGUGCCAGCAGCCGCGGUAAUACGUAGGUGGCAAGCGUUGUCCGGAUUUACUGGGCGUAAAGGGAGCGUAGGCGGAUUUUUAAGUGGGAUGUGAAAUACCCGGGCUUAACCUGGGUGCUGCAUUCCAAACUGGAAGUCUAGAGUACAGGAGGGGAAAGUGGAAUUCCUAGUGUAGCGGUGAAAUGCGUAGAGAUUAGGAAGAACACCGGUGGCGAAGGCGACUUUCUGGACUGUAACUGACGCUGAGGCUCGAAAGCGUGGGGAGCAAACAGGAUUAGAAACCCCAGUAGUCC